AGCUGUUACUACUCAUGUACAAACAGGUUGUUAAUUAAAGGAUAAAAUCAUAUACAGUGUUAGUAAUGUGUCAGUAAGAGCUGCCAGAAGAGCUUCAGUGCUGCUUUCUUCCAUAUGAUAUUCCCUCAGUGUUUUGUCUUUUAACGAUGGUGGACAGUGCAACAUUCCAAAGCCUCCCAUAAGAGUACUUGAGAUCCGACCUACAACCAGACAUGUGGCAGGAUAUCCUGAGGGAAGAGUUUGUCACCAGCUUGUUUCUCAGCCACAUCCUGAACGUCUCGAGAUUCCCUGUUUUCCUUCUAUCUUCCAAAAUCAUCCAGCCAAAGAUGGCAUCAAAAACUCCCUAGGACUCCACCCACCUCCUGACUGCCAGAGUCUCCAAGACGGAAAAACCCUAAUUAACUCCUUCAGACAAAUCCUCUUGUCUCAAAAAA